CCCUUAGAUGUUCUGGGCCGCACGCGCGCUACAAUGAUGAAUUCAACGAGUUUAUAACCUUGGCUGAAAAGCCUGGGUAAUCUUUUGAACUUUCGUCGUGAUGGGGCUAGACCCUUGCAAUUAUUGGUCUCCAACGAGGAAUUCCUAGUAAACGCAAGUCAUCAGCUUGCAUUGAUUACGUCCCUGCCCUUUGUACACACCGCCCGUCGCACCUACCGAUUGAAUGGUCCGGUGAAAUCUUCGGAUUGAGACUUUGAUUUCUUCACGGAAAACGCUGUUUUAAAAAGUUGAUUAAACCUUACCAUUUAGAGGAAGGUGAAGUCGUAACA
rnacentral:rRNA from 1 species